rnacentral:rRNA from 1 species
CCUACGGGGGACAGCAGUGAGGAAUAGUGGUCAAUGGACGAGAGUCUGAACCAGCCAAGUAGCGUGAAGGAUGACUGCCCUAUGGGUUGUAAACUUCUUUUAUAAAGGAAUAAAACGAGGCACGUGUGCCGGUUUGCAUGUACGUUAUGAAUAAGGAUCGGCUAACUCCGUGCCAGCAGCCGCGGUAAUACGGAGGAGCCGAGCGUUAUCCGGAUUUAUUGGGGUUAAAGGGAGCGUAGAGGGGUUGUUAAGUCAGUUGUGAAAGUUUGCGGCUCAACCGUAAAAUUGCAAUUGAUACUGGCAGUCUUGAGUACAGUUGAGGUAGGCGGAAUUCGUGUUGUAGCGG